rnacentral:snoRNA from 21 species
CGCGUGAUGAGGUGCAGAAGGCAUGUCGCCGCUACGGCGGUGGCUCGCGUAGCCGUCUGGCUGUGCGCGUACUGUGAGCUACUGUACUCCAUGGGUGAACAAUCUCUGAUG